rnacentral:rRNA from 1 species
UACGUAGGGUGCGAGCGUUAAUCGGAAUUACUGGGCGUAAAGUGUGCGCAGGCGGCAGAGCAAGUCGAGUGUGAAAGCCCCGGGCUUAACUUGGGAAUUGCGCUCGAAACUACUUUGCUGGAGUGUGGCAGAGGAAGGUGGAAUUCCACGUGUAGCGGUGAAAUGCGUAGAGAUGUGGAGGAACACCAAUGGCGAAGGCAGGCCUUCUGGGC